AGAGUUUGAUCCUGGCUCAGAUUGAACGCUGGCGGCAUGCCUUACACAUGCAAGUCGAACGGCAGCACGGGAGCAAUCCUGUGGCGAGUGGCGAACGGGUGAGUAAUACAUCGGAACGUGCCCAGCUGUGGGGGAUAGCCCGGCGAAAGCCGGAUUAACACCGCAUACGACCUACGGGUGAAAGCGGGGGAUCGCAAGACCUCGCGCAAUUGGAGCGGCCGAUGGCAGAUUAGCUUGUUGGUGGGGUAAAAGCCCACCAAGGCGACGAUCUGUAGCUGGUCUGAGAGGACGACCAGCCACACUGGGACUGAGACACGGCCCAGACUCCUACGGGAGGCAGCAGUGGGGAAUUUUGGACAAUGGGCGCAAGCCUGAUCCAGCCAUGCCGCGUGUGGGAAGAAGGCCUUCGGGUUGUAAACCACUUUUGUCAGGGAAGAAACGGUCUGAUCUAAUAAAUCGGGCUAAUGACGGUACCUGAAGAAUAAGCACCGGCUAACUACGUGCCAGCAGCCGCGGUAAUACGUAGGGUGCAAGCGUUAAUCGGAAUUACUGGGCGUAAAGCGUGCGCAGGCGGCUAUGCAAGACAGAUGUGAAAUCCCCGGGCUCAACCUGGGAACUGCAUUUGUGACUGCAUGGCUAGAGUACGGCAGAGGGGGAUGGAAUUCCGCGUGUAGCAGUGAAAUGCGUAGAUAUGCGGAGGAACACCGAUGGCGAAGGCAAUCCCCUGGGCCUGUACUGACGCUCAUGCACGAAAGCGUGGGGAGCAAACAGGAUUAGAUUCCCUGGUAGUCCACGCCCUAAACGAUGUCAACUGGUUGUUGGACGGCUUGCUGUUCAGUAACGAAGCUAACGCGUGAAGUUGACCGCCUGGGGAGUACGGCCGCAAGGUUGAAACUCAAAGGAAUUGACGGGGACCCGCACAAGCGGUGGAUGAUGUGGUUUAAUUCGAUGCAACGCGAAAAACCUUACCUACCCUUGACAUGUCUAGAAGUUUCCAGAGAUGGAUUCGUGCUCGAAAGAGAACUAGAACACAGGUGCUGCAUGGCCGUCGUCAGCUCGUGUCGUGAGAUGUUGGGUUAAGUCCCGCAACGAGCGCAACCCUUAUCAUUAGUUGCUACGCAAGGGCACUCUAAUGAGACUGCCGGUGACAAACCGGAGGAAGGUGGGGAUGACGUCAGGUCAUCAUGGCCCUUAUGGGUAGGGCUACACACGUCAUACAAUGGCCGGUACAGAGGGCUGCCAACUCGCGAGAGGGAGCUAAUCUCAGAAAACCGGUCGUAGUCCGGAUCGUAGUCUGCAACUCGACUGCGUGAAGUCGGAAUCGCUAGUAAUCGCGGAUCAGCUUGCCACGGUGAAUACGUUCCCGGGUCUUGUACACACCGCCCGUCACACCAUGGGAGCGGGUUCUGCCAGAAGUAGUUAGCCUAACCGCAAGGAGGGCGAUUACCACGGCAGGGUUCGUGACUGGGGU
rnacentral:rRNA from 1 species